GACGAACGCUGGCGGCGUGCUUAACACAUGCAAGUCGAGCGGUAAGGCCCUUUCGGGGGUACACGAGCGGCGAACGGGUGAGUAACACGUGGGUGACCUGCCCUCAGCUCUGGGAUAAGCCUGGGAAACCGGGUCUAAUACCGGAUAUGACUCCAUGACGCAUGUUGUGGGGUGGAAAGCCUUGUGCGGCUGAGGAUGGGCCCGCGGCCUAUCAGCUUGUUGGUGGGGUGAUGGCCUACCAAGGCGACGACGGGUAGCCGGCCUGAGAGGGCGACCGGCCACACUGGGACUGAGACACGGCCCAGACUCCUACGGGAGGCAGCAGUGGGGAAUCUUGCGCAAUGGGCGAAAGCCUGACGCAGCGACGCCGCGUGAGGAUGACGCC
rnacentral:rRNA from 1 species